AAUAACAAUGCUGAAUCAGCAAAUCACGUUUGAAGCGUGGCCAAAAUCUAUUGCCUGGAUCUUGGAGGCUUUGUCCAGUGUCAUUGUGGGCCACAGUGACAUAGCCAGGACCAUGGAGAGAGACCAUUGCUGAGGAGGUGGGAAUGGCAAGUUCCUGGCCAAUCAGAUGAUCCUACAUGACGAAGCUGCUCGUAAAGAUGCAAGUCUGAUGACAAACUCAGGAUGAUGAGUGAGUGAUAGUGUUGUUAUUUAAUAGCCUGAUAGGAUAUACCUACUGCCAACAUUUUCAUGUACACUGUUCCUAUAGGACGCAUUUAAUUUUGUUUGGAUGGUCCGGAAAGCUGUUUGAAACUUUUAAAUAGUAUGUUGAAGAGUGCGCCAGUAGACUACCAUCAUGUAGCAAGCUCUGACAAGGGCUCUAAUGACACGAGUAUUUGACCUUAUAGCCAGGGGUCGUGUUAUGGUGAAGUUGCUUGAGACUAUUAUAGCCAUUGCCUUGGCUACAUGUGCAGUGUUUGAAGACGUGCUUGUGUGUGUACAGUUAUUAUUGUUUGGCCAUAAUUCGUAGUAAGUACUGUUCACGUGUUUUCUCCCUACUAGACCUGAGGAUUUGUACCGACCAGGUGAGGUGGACUUUGACCCCAAUGAGGAGAGCUUACUAGCGGAGCUCCACCUAGCAACCAGCGGUAGCAACGCACCCGGAGUGGAUCAGAUCAUUAUAGACAAUGAGAAACUAAUGCUGGAGAAUUAUGCGGCCAUUUUUCAGCCCGGCCAAGUGUUGAGGAGACAAGAAGAGGCACUGAGAAUGGAGGUAGAGGCCUACUAUGCUGCUAAAAAAGAGAGGGGCCUCACGUAAACUGGCCACUCAGUGUGACUAUGACCAUGUGACUGUUUAACCCCUCAGUUCCCGAGCCCUACCCCUCACUGGUCUGACUCGGAAGAGGAGAUAGACUUUGUAUUCUGGGAGAAGGCGUCCACCCUACCCUCGGACAAGACCCCAACCAAGGACUUGAACUUGUUAUGAGACUGUUAAAUAUUAUUUUGUCUGUUUUUGUACUAUUUUCUGGCAAUGUAAUUAUGUAUGUACCACUUCAUGUCAUCAUAAUAACUAUAAUUAUAUGCAAUAAAAUUUUGUUGCAACUCAA